UACGUAGGGUGCGAGCGUUGUCCGGAAUUAUUGGGCGUAAAGAGCUUGUAGGCGGUUUGUCGCGUCUGCCGUGAAAAAUCCGAGGCUCAACCUCGGACUUGCGGUGGGUACGGGCAAACUAGAGUACUGCAGGGGGAGACUGGAAUUCCUGGUGUAGCGGUGAAAUGCGCAGAUAUCAGGAGGAACACCGGCGGCGAAGGCGGGUCUCUGGGCAGUAACUGACGCUGAGGAGCGAAAAGCGUGGGGAGCGAACAGG
rnacentral:rRNA from 1 species